ACUAACAUAAAAGCAUGGCAAAUGACCAUACAGCUACUUUGUUUGUCUAUGUUAAUGUGAAUUGAUCGUUUUGGCAACUAUGGCAGUUCUUUACCUACCAAUGCUUUAAUGAAAAUCCUCUAACUUAGUUACUGAUUUUGGCUAUGUGCUUGUCUCUGCAGGUUUGUCUUCACCCAUAAGAAGCAGUCUGGUGGUUCUGGGCAGUACGGUAAAGUGAUAGGAUUUCUUGAACCUCUGGACCAAGAAAACUACGCAAAAGUAGAGUUUGAAGACCAGACUGUUGGAACCAACAUCCCCAAACAGUUUGUGCCGGCUGUUGAGAAGGUGUGCAUGCCUGGCUGUAGUCUGAAUCACAUAGGCCCUUCAUGAUUCAGAAAGGCCCUCUUGACUGGUCACAAGAUCUCGGGCUCUUAAACAAGCCAUGGAGAAGGCCAACGUUGCCGUGCUGGAGCCAAUCAUGUCAGUAGAAAUUGUGGCGCCCGAUGAGUUCCAAGGGACAGUCAUCGCCGGGGUCAACCAUCGCCAUGGGGUUAUCAGUGGGCAGGUUGGGGCAGAGGGCUACUUUACGCUGUGUGCUGAUAUUCCACUGAAUGACAUGUUUGGUUACGCCACAGAGCUCCAGUCCUGUAAGGCGCUGGCUCCUCUAGUCGGAUGUCAAGAAGUCAUAAAAAUGGCCAAGAUAUCAAGCCAUGCACUCUCAGUGAUAUUGAAUUGAGUUUGUAUUUGCUAUUUUUUUCUGUUAAUUUAUUUGGACUAAAGUUGUUGCUCAGUCUAUGAUCCUUUCUGGAGAACUGAUGUGGGGGGAGUGUUGUGUCCAGGGGAAAGGAGAGUACACCCUGGUGUAUAGCAGAUACCAGCCAUGGCUGCCUGGCACUCAGGAGGAGCUCAUCAACAGGACAGCUGCCUGCCAAGAAGGGGAAGUGGAAGAACUGAGGCUGGACAACACACACAAUCAAUGAAUUGUAAACACAUUACAGAGGGUUUGAAUGGAGCUGAAGGUUGGGACUAAUAACAAUAUAACUCAUGUAAAACUUACGGUGUGGAUAAAACGUAUAUAGGUUAAGAACUUUUGUGAAAGAGCACAGUUUGAAAGAAAUGGCAAAUAAAAAUCUAACCGGAUGGACAUCAGAAAUAGAUGGGGGAGGUUGAGGGUAGAGGAAGGACAGGAGUAAAAACAAACUAAAUAGAACUAUUGUAAAAAUAGACUGUGUCCAUAAAAUGUAUAUAGUACUACUCAUUCAAGGGUUUUAUUUUUACUAUAUUGUGGAAUAAUAGUGAAG